rnacentral:rRNA from 1 species
GUUAGGAAUCUUCCACAAUGGGGGCAACCCUGAUGGAGCAACACCGCGUGCUGGAUGAAGGCCUUCGGGUCGUAAACAGCUUUUGUAUACGAAGAAUAUGACGGUAAUAUACGAAUAAGGGUCGGCUAACUACGUGCCAGCAGCCGCGGUCAUACGUAGGACCCAAGCGUUAUCCGGAGUGACUGGGCGUAAAGAGUUGCGUAGGCGGCUUAUUAAGCGAGUAGUGAAAUCUGGUGGCUCAACCAUCAACACAUUGCUCGAACUGAUAGGCUUGAGAAUGGUAGAGGUAGUUGGAAUUUCUUGUGUAGGAGUGAAAUCCGUAGAUAUAAGAAGGAACACCAAUGGCGUAGGCAGACUACUGGACCAUUUCUGACGCUGAGGCACGAAAGCGUGGGGAGCGAACCGGAUUAGAUACCCGGGUAGUCC